CCGCGGUAAUACGUAGGGUGCGAGCGUUGUCCGGAAUUACUGGGCGUAAAGAGCUCGUAGGUGGUUUGUUGCGUCGUCUGUGAAAUUCCGGGGCUUAACUUCGGGGUGGCAGGCGAUACGGGCAUAACUAGAGUGCUGUAGGGGAGACUGGAAUUCCUGGUGUAGCGGUGGAAUGCGCAGAUAUCAGGAGGAACACCGAUGGCGAAGGCAGGUCUCUGGGCAGUAACUGACGCUGAGGAGCGAAAGCAUGGGGAGCGAACAGGAUUAGAUACCCUGGUAGUCCAUGCUGUAAACGGUGGGCGUUAGGUGUGGGGACCGGUUUGGUUUCUGUGCCGUAGCUAACGCAUUAAGCGCCCCGCCUGGGGAGUACGGCCGCAAGGCUAAAACUCAAAGGAAUUGACGGGGGCCCGCACAAG
rnacentral:rRNA from 1 species